GACGAACGCUGGCGGCGCGCCUAACACAUGCAAGUCGAGCGAGAACCAGGGCUUCGGCCCUGGGGACAGCGGCGAACGGGUGAGUAACACGUGGGUAACCUGCCCUCGGCACUGGGAUAGCCCGGGGAAACCCGGAUUAAUACCGGACAGCCUCAUGAGCCCUCGGGCAAAUGAGAAAAGGUGGCUUCGGCUUCCGGCUGAGGAUGGGCCCGCGGCCGAUUAGCUUGUUGGUGGGGUAAUGGCUCACCAAGGCUCCGAUCGGUAGCUGGUCUGAGAGGACGAUCAGCCACACUGGGACUGAGACACGGCCCAGACUCCUACGGGAGGCAGCAGUGGGGAAUCUUGCGCAAUGGGCGAAAGCCUGACGCAGCGACGCCGCGUGCGGGAAGAAGGCCUGG
rnacentral:rRNA from 1 species